GGUUGGAACUUGCAGCUGAACGUGCCAAGGUCAUCAUCAAAGACUCGAUGAUUACUGAUCGUGAUGUGAACCUUGAUUCUUCUCGGAAAGAGAACUCCAUACUCUCCGACCAACUGGGAGAGAUUCACGAGGAGAACAAGAAGCUGCUGGAGUCGCAAGAUGAAUACAAGAAAACGAUAAUGCGACUGGAAAAAGCGGACCAGACAACAUCUGAAGUGGUCAACCGUGCAGUUGCGGACGCUCAACGUGCAACUGAGGAAGCUCGACUUGCAACUGAAGAGCUUCAACGUGUGGU
rnacentral:lncRNA from 1 species